AGCAAAGGUUAGGGUUAGGCUAACGCUUCCACACGUGUGGGAAAUCGAUUGAACAAAGAGGCAGUUCCACCGACCAAGUUGCUCUAUGCAUCUUGACGUAUUUGUCACAUUGAUGCUGGAUCAAGUGACUGCUUUUAGCAAGCGAAAAAUGUAAAUAGCAUCACCAGGAACCGCCAAACAUGCAAGGGUUUGUAGACUAAACUUUCCAAUGGAAGAAGUCUACAGACAAGAGCUGCAGUACUGGGAGAAUCUGACGUCAAUGUUGUCGAAGUAUCACCAUAAGUUCGGUAACUGUAUAGACCUCGGGG
rnacentral:sRNA from 1 species